rnacentral:rRNA from 1 species
UACAUGGGGUGCAAACGUUGCUCGGAAUUAUUGGGCGUAAAGCGUGCGCAGGCGGUUCGUUGUGUCUGAUGUGAAAGCCCCGGGCUCAACUUGGGAACGGCAUUGGAAACUGGCGAGCUAGAGUGUGGCAGAGGGGGGUGGAAUUCCGCGUGUAGCAGUGAAAUGCGUAGAGAUGCGGAGGAACACCGAUGGCGAAGGCAGGUCUCUGGGCCACUACUGACGCUGAGAAGCGAAAGCAUGGGGAGCGAACAGG